UACGGAGGGGGCUAGCGUUGUUCGGAAUUACUGGGCGUAAAGCGCCCGUAGGCGGCCUGACAAGUUGGACGUGAAAGCUCCUGGCUUAACUGGGAGAGGCCGUUCAAAACUGUCAAGCUAGAGUCUGGAAGAGGAGAGCGGAAUUCCCGGUGUAGUGGUGGAAUGCGUAGAGAUCGGGAGGAACACCAGUGGCGAAAGCGGCUCUCUGGUCCAAAACUGACGCUGAGGGGCGAAAGCGUGGGGAGCGAACGGG
rnacentral:rRNA from 1 species